UCUUCGUAGCUCAGUUGGUUAGAGCGUUCGACUGUUACCCUGCUCCGGUAGCCUCAGUCAUCCAUCGAGAGGUCGGCGGUUCUCAGUCUCGACAAG
rnacentral:tRNA from 1 species